rnacentral:rRNA from 1 species
GAUGAACGCUGGCGGCGUGCCUAAUACAUGCAAGUCGAGCGAACAGACGCGGAGCUUGCUGGUCUGUCGUUAGCCGCGCACGGGUGAGUAACACGUGGAUAACCUACCUAUAAGACUGGGAUAACUUCGGGAAACCGGCGCUAAUACCGGAUAAUCUCUUGAACCGCAUGGUUCAAUAGUGAAAGACGGUGUUGCUGUCUCUUAUCGCUGGAUCCGCGCUGCAUUAGCUAGUUGGUAAGGUAACGGCUUACCAAGGCUACGAUGCGUAGCCGACCUGAGAGGGGGGUCGGCCACACUGGAACUGGAACAGGGUCCAGAGUACUGAGGGAGGCAGCAGAAGGGAAUCUUACGCAACGGGCGAGAGCCUGACGGAGCGACGGCGCGUGAGAGAUGAAGGUCUUCGGUUCGUAAAACUGUGUUAUGAGGGAAAAACAGAUGUGUAAGGAACUGUGGAGUUCUUGACGGUACCGGGUCAGAAAGCAACGGCUAACUACGUG